GAUGAACGCUGGCGGCGUGCCUAAUACAUGCAAGUCGAGCGAACGGACGAGAAGCUUUCUUCUCUGAUGUUAGCGGCGGACGGGUGAGUAACACGUGGAUAACCUACCUAUAAUACUGGGAUAACUUCGGGAAACCAGAGCUAAUACCGGAUAAUAUUUUGAACCGCAUGGUUCAAAAGUGAAAGACGGUCUUGCUGUCACUUAUAGAUGGAUCCGCGCUGCAUUAGCUAGUUGGUAAGGUAACGGCUUACCAAGGCAACGAUGCAUAGCCGACCUGAGAGGGUGAUCGGCCACACUGGAACUGAGACACGGUCCAGACUCCUACGGGAGGCAGCAGUAGGGAAUCUUCCGCAAUGGGCGAAAGCCUGACGGAGCAACGCCGCGUGAGUGAUGAAGGUCUUCGGAUCGUAAAACUCUGUUAUUAGGGAAGAACAUAUGUGUAAGUAACUGUGCACAUCUUGACGGUACCUAAUCAGAAAGCCACGGCUAACUACGUG
rnacentral:rRNA from 1 species